GGCGUGACGUCAUAGGGCUGCGCUCCUGCAUCUGUCGUGAUUCGGAUGAAGACAGGACAAAGUGUACAAACGCACAGAAAACAACUGGAGAAACAGCUGAGAUCCACACACGAUUAUAAAGAUGGAGAUUAUUAAACAGGAGAGUGAAGACAUGAAGAUUGAAGUCAAACAUGAAGAUACUGAGACACAAACAGACAUGAUGGGGCUGAAAGAGGAAAGAGUAGAACUGAAUGACAUGCAAGAUAAAAAUCAGCAUAAGAAACAUGAUUUUGUAACUGGACAAAAAUCAUUCAGUUGGUCAACCACUGAAAAAAAUUCAUCUCAAAACACUGGAUCUAGAGGUCAUUUCACCUGCCAAGAUUGUGGACAGAGUUUCGGAACAAACCCGAGCCUCAAUGUCUGCUGCUGACCUCGCAGAAGCAUACAAAUAGACAUAGCCAGACUAGACUAUUUUAGUACAAAUAAUGAGCUUAAUGACGAUU